UGAAAUAAAGCCAAACCUGUCGAGAGACAGGGACGGAAAGCCACGGGGCCAUGGACUGCAUCGCAGACAAGCUCUUUCCAUAGUUAGCCGGGUUGCCUUAU
rnacentral:ncRNA from 1 species